UCCUCUCCAGGGCACGGCGGGACCGGAGAGCAGUGGUGAAGCACCUAGAGAGCGACAUUGCGAACACAACGACACAAACCCAACUGAAGCUCUCCAGUUCCCGGACUGGUGAAUAGCUUGUUCCCGGCCACCAACCCCCAAAAUAUCAACCACGGAUGGUGGCCCACAAACAACGUGGCCCGCUCAGAGACACCAUGGCGGAGGCCUGUCCCCAGGAGAAGGGAGGGUUACCAGCUCUCAUAUCCUUCCUGCCCGUUCCGCCAUUUCCCUCCCUGGUCCAUCUCGCAGAAACGCUUUGUUGUAGAUCUGUUUGCGCGACCGACUGGUUAAUCUUUAGUACAAUAAAUGUGCAAAGACGCUCAAGUCAUUUUUGCUGUGCUGGCAGUGAAAUGCUUGUUUGUUUAUUGGGGCACUGGGUGACAUGAUUCUUUGUAUCAACUAAAAGGUAUAAAAUUCCA